CUACGGGGUGCUCCAGUGAGGAAUAUUGGGCAAUGGGCGCAAGCCUGACCCAGCCAUGCCGCGUGAAGGAUGAAUGCCCUACGGGUUGUAAACUUCUUUUGUACGGGACGAAACUUCCGAUCGUGAUCGGAACUGACUGUACCGUUCGAAUAAGCAUCGGCUAACUCCGUGCCAGUAGCCGCGGUAAUACGGAGGAUGCAAGCGUUAUCCGGAUUCAUUGGGUUUAAAGGGUGCGUAGGCGGAAUAGUAAGUCAGUGGUGAAAGCCUGCGGCUUAACCGUAGAAUUGCCAUUGAUACUGUUAUUCUUGAGUAUAGUUGAGGUGGGCGGAAUGUGUAAUGUAGCGGUGAAAUGCUAAGAUAUUACACAGAACACCAAUUGCGAAGGCAGCUCACUAAACUAUCACUGACGCUGUGGCACGAAAGCGUGGGAAGCAAACAGGAUUAGAUACCCCGGUAGUC
rnacentral:rRNA from 1 species